rnacentral:rRNA from 1 species
GACGAACGCUGGCGGCGUGCUUAACACAUGCAAGUCGAACGGUAAGGCCCUUCGGGGUACACGAGUGGCGAACGGGUGAGUAACACGUGGGUGAUCUGCCCUGCACUUCGGGAUAAGCCUGGGAAACUGGGUCUAAUACCGGAUAGGACCACUGCCUGCAUGGGUGGUGGUGGAAAGCUUUUGCGGUGUGGGAUGGGCCCGCGGCCUAUCAGCUUGUUGGUGUGGUGAUGGCCUACCAGGGCGACGACGGGUAGCCGGCCUGAGAGGGUGACCGGGCAGACUGGGACUGAGAUACGGCCAGAGUUCCUACGGGAGGGGGCGGUGGGGAAUAUUGCACAAUGGGGGCAAGCCUGAUGCAGCGACGCCGCGUGAGGGAUGACGGCCUUCGGGUUGUAAACCUCUUUCAGCACCGACGAAGCGGAAGUGACGGUAGGUGCAGAAGAAGGACCGGCCAACUGCGUGCCAGCCGCCGCCGUAA